CCUACGGGAGGCAGCAGUGAGGAAUAUUGGUCAAUGGACGAGAGUCUGAACCAGCCAAGUAGCGUGAAGGACGACUGCCCUAUGGGUUGUAAACUUCUUUUAUAUGGGAAUAAAAUGUUCCACGUGUGGGAUUCUGUAUGUACCAUAUGAAUAAGGAUCGGCUAACUCCGUGCCAGCAGCCGCGGUAAUACGGAGGAUCCGAGCGUUAUCCGGAUUUAUUGGGUUUAAGGGGAGCGUAGGUGGAUUGUUAAGUCAGUUGUGAAAGUUUGCGGCUCAACCGUUAAAUUGCAGUUGAAACUGGCAGUCUUGAGUACAGUAGAGGUGGGCGGAAUUCGUGGUGUAGCGGUGAAAUGCUUAGAUAUCACGAAGAACUCCGAUUGCGAAGGCAGCUCACUGGACUGCAACUGACACUGAGGCUCGAAAGUGUGGGUAUCAAACAGGAUUAGAUACCCUUGUAGUC
rnacentral:rRNA from 1 species